UAGGGAAUCUUCGGCAAUGGGGGGAACCCUGACCGAGCAACGCCGCGUGAGUGAAGAAGGUUUUCGGAUCGUAAAGCUCUGUUGUUAAGGAAGAACGAGUGUGAGAAUGGAAAGUUCAUACUGUGACGGUACUUAAUCAGAAAGGGACGGCUAACUACGUGCCAGCAGCCGCGGUAAUACGUAGGUCCCGAGCGUUGUCCGGAUUUAUUGGGCGUAAAGCGAGCGCAGGCGGUUAGAUAAGUCUGAAGUUAAAGGCAGUGGCUCAACCAUUGUAGGCUUUGGAAACUGUUUAACUUGAGUGCAGAAGGGGAGAGUGGAAUUCCAUGUGUAGCGGUGAAAUGCGUAGAUAUAUGGAGGAACACCGGUGGCGAAGGCGGCUCUCUGGUCUGUAACUGACGCUGAGGCUCGAAAGCGUGGGGAGCGAACGGG
rnacentral:rRNA from 1 species